UACGAGGGGUGCAAGCGUUGCUCGGAAUUAUUGGGCGUAAAGGGUAGGUAGGUGGUCUCAUUUGUCUAGGGUGAAAGCCUUGAGCUUAACUCAAGAAGUGCCCUAGAAACGGUGAGACUGGAGUCCUGGAGAGGGUCGUGGAAUUCCCGGUGUAGCGGUGAAAUGCGUAGAGAUCGGGAGGAACACCAGAGGCGAAAGCGGCGACCUGGACAGGUACUGACACUCAACUACGAAAGCGUGGGGAGCAAACAGG
rnacentral:rRNA from 1 species